UUAUUUUUGCCAGUGCAAAUCUAGAAAACACGCGAUGAGGGACAGUGCGUAGGACCUAGCCAAAAAGAGCUUGAACAUGAAAGGAGACCUGCUAAGGCCAGAGGCACAGUUCAAACUUCCACAGGAUGCAGAAUCGGAAAUGCUUCGGCCUCGCUGCCCCCUCCUCCCAUCGUCAGCUCUGGAAAGGGCGGCGAGGGCCCUGUUUGGCAUCUCGGGUGAGGAUUGCUCUUCUUUAACAGAGGAUGCUUGCCUCUCCCUAUCUUCUCACCCCUUCUGCUCUGAGUCAGGCUUUGCUCCCCAGUGAAACACAAAAAGCAGGACAGCAGGGAAAAGUGGAGCGAGUGGGAAGGGUGGAGAGGCAGCACCAGAGCACGGAUCCACCGGACGUGUCAGCCCGUCGGCACUUGGAAAACACAAGGAGGGGUGUGCCAAACUCGGCAGCUUACAACACGGUAUCUCAGAGACCUUCUAAGAAAUAGAUGCCACACCCCAAGACAAAAAGAAUCCGCACCUUGCACAAUGGACUUGUACCAUUUCCUGAUACAAAUGACGCUCAUUUCCCAAGCAAAAUACGAGGCAUCUCCAGUGCCUAGGAUGCGAAAUUAUAAACCGACUCAUUGUUCCACUGGAAACAUGCCCUGCUCCCAGAUUCCCUCAUCUGCAUCCUCCACACAGCAUCUCCUACCUCUAAUUCAUCUGUGACUCCUGCAGCCACUGCUGACCAGUGCUGACCAGUGCCAAGUGGUGCUGGCCAGUGCUGACCAGCGCUGAGCGGUGGCCCCAGGGAGGCUGAGCUCUCCUCCUGCAAGUUGCACCUGGAUUCUGUGCUCCAAAGGGAAAACUGUUCCUGGUGAUUCCCAAGUCCCAGUUCUUCCUGCAUCUUGUGAUUCCAGCUCACAGGUCCAGGCCUCUUCCUGGAUGCCCCACUAGGUCUUGCUCCUGGUGGCCUCUCUCCCAGAGAUGAAUAGCCUGUCUUGACCCUUGUGGCCCAGGGCUGGGGCUGACACCCACAGCAGGCACCCAGGAUGCUAAUGCCACCAACUUUCCCCAUCCUCUGCCAGGAACGCCUUGCCCUCCAGUGGUUCCUGCCAGGAUCCCUUGCUCAUCUCCUUCUGUGAGUCUCAUCACCAACCACCAGUGUGCCAUUCUCCCCGGGAUGAUGGACAGCUUAGGUUUAGGUCUUCUGAUGUGCAGCAAGAAUAUACAAAGAAAACUGGUCUAACCAAUAAAUUGUUUAAUAGUAAAAUCUGGUUCAUUUGUAGAGUUCUAAGGGUUUUCAGAUGCUGCUGUUACGUUUAAGCUACAGGCAAUUUACCCAAGGAAUGUGAUGUUGAAAUGUUUCAGAAUACACUUCCGCUUGAAAAUUACAGGCAAUAAAAUGUACCAGCUUUCUCCUUUUUUCUUCAUUAAUGAAGUGAGGAACAUAAAAGUUCAAUUAAAAAUGAAGACUCAUGUAUCACUUGGUUCUUUUUAGUCCUUUUAAUUUAAUAAAACAUUGGUGUUGAGGUGUCGGGAAACGGAAAGCGAUUGCCCUGUUUCUGGCUCAGCAUUCGCAUUUGGCUAACUCACAAAUCCAGAGCUGUGGGGAGGGUCUUUUCCCUGCCUCAGUCAGCACCUAGAAUACCCGCAGGCGGGGUCAGGUGCCAGAGGCUCCGGGAAGAACAGAGAGGGUGAGACAGCCCUGGGGAAAGGGAGGGGCACGGAGGAAGCUCUGAGGGCAGGGCCAAGACAUCAGGUUUACUGCUGAGCUCAGUCUAGAACAGAGUGAGGGAGGAGGGACUCCAUAAUUGGCUGUCGAAUAAGUGGAAUCCCAAGAAGAAAACUGGGUGGGAGCGUGAAGAUAAAUAUUAGCAACAACGAGGCAAAGCAAGCAAAGAUCCUUUCAUAGCCGGGACAAGCUCAUUCACCAGAAACCAUGAAAUGGAACCUGCCCCCACACCCCGCGAGACCAUGGCCUCGUGCCUGUCCUGAGUGCCCUUUGAGCACUACCUAUCUCAGUCAAGAGGCAAGCCUUGCCUUUGACCACAUCCUAGUCUUUUUUCCCUUCUCUGUUUCUUCUGGAAGGCCAUGUGGUCCUGUAGGUCCUAGCUUUUAUAACCACAUUCCUUAGAUCCAAACCACGCUAAGUUUAAAGAAUGAAGACAUGAAUGAAGAAAUGCAACAAGAAGCAGUGGGAAGGUGUACCAGCUGGCGGGCAUCAGGUGGGUCUCACCACUCGCCCUUGGUGAAGCCCAGCCCGAGGCCACGGCCGGCAGCUGCACUUCUUGGGAGAAGAUCUGAGCCCUGCUGGGGUCACCACAUGCAACAUGGCACCUCCCAAGGGCAGGGCAAGACCUUCAGAUGGAAACACAUGCAUUUCCACACCAGCUAAUACCUAUGGGGCCUCUGUGUUGUAGAGUAUUGCAUAUUGCAGAUGUCCAAAAGUACACAAAGUUUCAACUUUAUAAAUCACAUGCAGUGAUGCUCUCCUGAUUCAGAGAAAAUAUUGCAAGAGCCAGCAAUGUAACAUUGCAUUCCCAAAGCAAGCAGCGAGAAAGCAGGAAGCAAAGUUUUGCACCUCAUAAUCAUUGUAAUCUACAGAACACAUUCCCUCCACUCUAGAGACCUGAAAAUACAUUUUAAAAUUAUCUCAUUGGUUUAAAUUAUUACUUUUAAAUUACUUUAUUAGUUACUUCUGUGGCCAUCCAAAUAAGUCAGAUUUCACUUGGAAUAAAUCAGUGGUUCACCUAAGGGCAAUCUCUGACUUAAAUAUUUCCCUCUAUUAAUCAAUAACUUCCUUUUCCCAAUGUGCUUUCCCAUCAGGGAAAUCGAUGUCUCUGGAUAACUAUGUAGACACAAACGUGUCAGAGCACAUCGGGCUGAGAACACAGAAGGAAAUGCAUUUGGAGCCUUUCGUGUCCAGGGCCUCACUCCGCCACUGUGAUGCCGGUGGCUGAUUCUCCUCCGACCACGUGAGUCAGCGUGCACCUGGCGGGUGAGGCUGGGCAGCCUAGAGAGACAGGAGGAGCAGCCAGUGAGAGGACCCAGAGCUCACCAGGCAGCAGCACGGGGCUACCCUGCAAAGCUCAUCUUGGACUCUACCCAGCCACGCUCCUGUAGGAACCCAAGAGAACUGGAGGCAUCUAUAAGGUGUUAUCAUCUAGACGUAGCUGGGGACAGAGAACAGGAGCAGUCACAGAGCUGUAAAGCUGCUGCUUCAACACAGCUGUUUUCUUCCACCCUACCACCUGCUGGCUCUUGAAUUCUCUCCUGGGUAAAGCCAAGGCCCUUCGAAGGCUAAGGCCUAAUUUGAGGCUCGCCUGUCCUGCACCACCAGGAAAACCAGGGACCAAUGGCAGGGUCUCUCUGGGUGCAGCCAUCCUCAAGCCUUCACCCUACUCUCUGCUCUCCUGCUCCGCCCCAGAGGCUCCAGGAAUCCAGGCAGACUCCCUUGGAUGCAUCCACAGUCAGCUCCGUCCCCGGAAGCCUGGCCUCCAGCCCACAUCGGCUUUACCCCCAAACAGCUUGAUUUGUUUUCUAAGAGAUAUUCUGAACCUACUUGUUAAUAAAAUGCCCUUUCUGCUUCUUUCCCAUCUAUAAUAAGAGGAUGUCUUACAUAUCUGAAGAGCGACAAGACACCGGUGCCAGAGGAGGGGCUAAGGGAGGCUGUCCUUGCUUGAGAGCUUGCGGCACAGGGGGCCUCGGUGGCUGCGGGGGGCCCUUGCACGAGGGGGGGUAUCGCUGUGCAACGGCGACUCCAGAGCCCUGCAAGGGCCAACCUGCUUCCAUGGAAGUCCCCACCCAGUGGGUGGCGCCCAGCACUGCAGAAGCUCAAACAGUACCUGUUGGAGCGCGGCGCAGGUGUGCCGGCUGCCGGACAGAGGUCGCGGAAGGCAAUGGUUAAAGCCAUCUGUUGGCCACUUCUAUCCCUGUUCAUCCCACUUGUCCUCCCUCAGACACUUGGGACUAGAGUCAAAGGAUCCCGGAUGUCUGACUUUCUUUCUGCCCUGGGUUCAUAGGGGAAAGCUGAUGGAUUUGUAGGCCACGCAGCAUCGAGAGCUGUGGGAGUACAGUUCAUUCCCUAGGAUGAGGAAGAUCUCAGACUCCAAUCCACAGGCACUCCCUGAGCCCCCGCUGCCUCCCAGCUCUUGUAAGAACCCUCCCCGUGUACCAUCAUCAUAAUGCUAUUGGCAUCACGUUUCUCAUGGCAAAGAGCCUUGCAGGACUGAGGUUCAAGCUGGGUUGACGCGGCUGGAUACCUGGUGCCCCUCCUCCCACCUCAGACCGUCUCCUACCACCGAGUGAGCCCGCAGACAAUGCGGCAUGGUGACAGACGAUGGCCCCGUGCACCGGGGGGUGGGGACAGAGGGGAGGGGCUGUGAGGUCUUUACAUUCACAGCCUUAGGUCUUGGGACUGAUGAGAACAAAUGACUGGGAUCACCCAGGUGCUUUCCAGACCCUACAGAAGGAGCGAGAAUCUUAUUUGACAGUGACACCCCAAAGAGAUGGGAAGAGGUCGGGACAGCACUGACUGAAAGGCAGUCCUGUGCGACAGAAGGCCGGCCCUGCGGAGUCCUGCCGCCAGGAACAGGGGUUAGUGUGGGUAUCGGGCACCAAGCAUGAGAAUUUGUCACUGGGAACGAGGAUGUGUGGAGACCCUACAAAGCAGCCAAACCUCUCCUACGGUGGGACCCUCUGGCCCAGGGUUAUAUCCAUGUCACCUGGUGGCUCCUCAGCUCCUUUUGUGCAGGGAGGUGAAAUGACCCAGAAUGAACCCUGAAAUCCAAGCAGCUUGGUGUGACCUUCUGAAACCUCUGAUGCCAAACCAGCCUGUCCCAGAUACACUGGAGCCAGCACAUAUGCUUUGCGGCACAGGCCACAUGUCACCUGCUGACAGGACCUGGCCCGUCAGUGCACCUGACCUGCAGCCUGUGUGGCUUAGCGUUCCUCCUCCCUCAGCCCAGAAUCCCCGCCCCUCACUGGCCCACUUCUCUGCUCAUGCUUCAGCCUCCUGGCUUCCUGUAGGAAGCUGCCUUGCUGCCCGGCCGAGCUGGGUCCGUGCCUGUAUCUCCAUGGUGUCUGCGUCACUGCUCUUAACUGUGCGGCGUUUUAAGGGCCUGUUUAGGAGCUACCUCCACCCCGCUAAGAGCGCUCACAGCAGCGCCCGUGGCAGGAGCUCUGUGCAUGCUCGAUGUAUUAACAUGUGCCAGUUACAGCAGGGCCACAAAUGCAGGACAUCACUACCAUUUCCCUCACCCGCGGUUUGAAGGAGAAAGAACAGGACCCGAGUAUAGGUGGGGAGGAACUGACUGGCCGCAGGGCAGAGGACAGCUCUGCCUGCACCCACUCUUCGUGCUACUGAGAUAACCACAGGAAGACAGAAGCCAACCCAGGGAUCUGCCCUGCCUUCUUGGAUGCCCACGACUCUGCCUGGGCCAUGGAGACGCAGGGCACAGACAGCGAUGCCCCGGCGCUUAGGAGACUGAAGACGAAAGGGCCAUUAUCGAGUGUCAGCCGUGCUGUGUCUAUUCACUGCUGAAAGAACAGUGGCACCUCCCCGCCUGUGAACGUGGCCUGUUGCUGCUCUAGCGUGUGGGGAGGCUAGCAGAAGCCGCCAAGAUUUUACCCAGAAGCUAAAGAAAAGGAAGAGGUGGUUUUGGGGGAAAAUUGUUGACUGAAGAAUUCCAAAGAUCUAUAUUUAUUUUUCUAUUAAGAUGGUUUACUGAAGUAUUUGAAUGGCAGGAGUCUAGGCAUUUUAAUUUGCACAGAUGUGGCUUGUUGACACUUUGAUUUUCUGUACUCAAGAGCAAACAGAAUGUUCAAACACAUUUAAGUUGGGCACUUUUAAAUAAGGCGAAGCAUUGCGUCGGCGGCUUGGGGUGGAGCGUUAUCAGGAUUCGCCUAAUGCGUGUGCACAGAAAUGCAAAAUUGCCUUUCACCAGAACAAAUCUCGGGUUAUGUGUGGUCCAAAGAAUGCUUCUAAGCCCCCUGCAGUAGGAGUGAGACCUGGAAGACACGGGCCGCGAGACAAAGGGCCCCAGACCACCACUGGAGAGUAGGUUCUGUUCACGGGAACGGGGUGGGAGGGGGCCGGCUUGGGAAGGAGGGGGCAGAGCUGGGCUGCUCUUCAUGGCAGAGGGGAGGAGAUGGAGUAUUCAAAAGGCAGGAGGAGGGGACAGGGACGCGGACCUCAGGGUGGGGGUGUGUGUGUCUGGGAUGGGGAAUCCCUGACGGGUCUCUGGAGGUCGAAGGAGCUAGCAGGGCUUCCAGGCUCACGGUGGAGCAGCUGGGCACUCUUCCGCCUGCUCUGCCAUCCUCCAAGGUCUCUGGGUGUCUCCCUUGCUCACUAAAGCUUGUAUGUGGUGGAUCUUUGGGGGGCACUUGAAAAAGACACAGCCUCUCCUGCUAGGACACUGCACAGGUUCCCUGCCGGGGCCCUAGACGUCAGGUUCCCACUCAUGUCCCACCUGCCCGGCCCCUCCGCUCAGCCCCCACCUUGCCAGGGUCGCAUUCUUACCUCCAGCACCGCUGCAGAGGGAGCUGGCAAUGGGCGGCUGGGUCCACAAGUCAGCACCGACGGCGGCUGGGUCCACAAGUCAGGACCGAGUGAUUAACCAGCACCACGUGUGCCCCCAGCAACAAGCAGAACCAUGGGGCAAAACGAAAUCACUGGGUUUGGAGAAGGGGUGAGAAAAAGAUGCCUAGGAGAGUGGCAUACAGCAUUGCUGUGAGGAGUGACAUGACGCACAGGCAUGGGGAGGGAAGGUGGGAACAACAGGGUCAGCAUGAGGCUGGCAACACACAGCAUUGAAGUCUCAGUUGUGCUUAGCGGCUAGGACACGCCCGAGGUUAGCCAGACAACAGGAGCCCCACUUGGAGGCAGCCUGGGGGCCCUCUUUCCACGCCAGCACGCUCACAUGGACCCAUGUGAGGGGGCUGUCUCCUGUCUCAGUUUCUUUAUCUGCAAAAUGAGAUUGUCAUUGUGCUCCUAAGAAUUACAAGGACUGAGUUAUUACAUGCUGUGAAGUUAGGGGAACACCGAUGUGAUCAAUAGCCUUAAUGCAGAGCAAGAGAUUGCAGCUGAGUGGAAAUAAUCCACCCGUGCCUCAGCACUAACUUUAACAACAUCGGCGAAAACAAAGGAAAUUCUCUAAGUCCGAGGGGGACCACCUGCUGAAGGCCAGCCCUGAGCAGGCCCUCCCCACUCGCCCAGGUGAGCACACUCUGGCGGCUCUGGGCCUGGAAGCUGUGCCAAAGCGCUCCCCCUACCAAAGCCCUCGCUUUCCCAGAGCUGGGCACCAUGUUUCCACAUGGAUUUACACCGCUUCUCUACCCCUGCAGAGAAGACUGGUUCCCUGUCCUGAAAACAGAACUGGUGUCUGAAAUGGACAUGAAGGUGAACUGAAGGCCAGGGGCCGAGGAUGAAGGGAACAUCCCGAGGCGUUCCUGCAGCGUUUCCGGAGCUCUCUGCAGGCAGGCACCUGCCACAGAUAUGUAUGCAUGGAGGCCUCCCAAUGUGAAACAAGGAAAAGAGUAAACAUGCCCACAGUGGAACACACAAUAUUUAAUUGAAUGAAAAAAUAAGUAAGGAUCCCAAGAAAACUGUGUUGGUUAAACUGAGCAUGGCCAGUUCCGAUUUAUAGAAUCCCCAGGGGAUCCCAGAAUCCGCUCCUCCCUGCUGGAUUUGUAGGUGUUGGACUCUGCUGGCCCUGUGGUCAGAGGCGAUACCCUCCCAGGCAGGCCGGGGGACUUCGUGGGACAGGCAUGGGAGGCAGAGUGCAGGCAUUUCAGACAUCUGCUGGAAGCCCUGGGCAUUUUAAUGGAUGUCCUCCUAUUUCAAAGGCAAAAGUUCAGUGCCUCUGAACAAAACCAUCCAACUGCAGCUGUGUGAAGACGGCACUGGCGGAAGCCGCUCUGUCCCACGGGGGUUCUGCUCUGCAAGGCUCUGUGCACACACUGAGGACACCGUGACCAGAGAAAGCCACACCAAAGUUUUAACAUUCGGCCCCAAGGCUGAGUGGCAGGAAGCCAAGCUGGGCCCACCCACCUUACCAGGAGGCCCCCGUUCCUGCUGCUGUGGCCAAGGAGUCCACACUGCGUUCCCUCCCAAGGAGGUGGAAGAGCUGCAUGGUCCCACAAUCCUGCUGCAUGGCUCCAGUCUGGGGAUUGGGUGGGGGGCUCUGGGAGCCCUAGAGGGGCCUGUCUGGGCAAGGACCAAGCAGGGAGUAGACAGAGGCGGGUGAAGAUGUGAGGCUGCUUUGGGACCACGUCACAACCCGUGAGUCUGACAUGAGCAGCCAGGAUUGGGGUGUUGGGGUGUUUUCUCCUGUGGCUUUUUCACGUAAAUCCACUGCUCUGGGAAGGGGUGUCAAGCUGUCCCUACACCCAGAGUGAGUCCUUGAGAGUGAACACUGAACCUGUCCAUUCCACACGAUCAGGGCUAGACUGGUCUAUUUCCUGACAGAGCAUCCUUGCCCGGGGGCCGUGCAGAAAUACAGACAUGUCAGCACAGAAAGGCAACAGGAUUCCCAUCAAAUAGCUGUUGCAAGAUCAGACAGUUGGAGCCACCUGCACUGCUAGAAUGAUGUGUCAAGGUGCCAAAUAGCUUUACACAGUUUUCAGGAUUCUUCAAAGGGAGAACACUCUCUAUGAGCUCAGAGACAUGCAUGGGAACUCCAGGUGCCCUCUGACACCUUGAUGCUGAUGCAGCUCCGUGAGCCUUGGUUUUCCUCUCUGUAGAUGAGGGCACGCCUGCUCCCUGGGGGGCAGGAGGGGACAGUGGCUCAGCUCUGCAGCUCUGCAGCUCUGCAGCUCUGCAGUGAGACUCCCUGGGUUGCACUCCUAAAAGUCCCUUCCUCUAGAUAAGCCUCAGUUUCCUCAGCUGUAAAACAACGUACACCGUCUCUUUAGCAAACACCGCUCAUGCACUGUGUCAAGUCCUAGAAGCAACUUGUUUCUGAUUUAAAUGGCAACGUGUAUAAAUAUGAACCAUGGGCUUGUGUCCGAGACACAGAUCUGUGCUUCUCAUUUUUUCCCAGGGAAAAUCUCUGACCACAGAGACCCUGAACAGGCUCUGCCAUGGUCAGGUGUUAACGAGGGUUAUUCUGUGGCAUGCCACUUUGAUUCUAAUGUUUUACAAAGGACAUGAAUUAUACAAAAGCAUUAAAUCAAUAAUUUGAUCCUCAACAGUAAACAGCAUAAUAAUCAAGAGCAUAGUUUAUAUAAUAUAUUCUUGAUGGUUAAAACAUAACAAAAAUAGAAAAUAAAAAACUGUAGGUUCUAGAAGAUGCAGGCAUUGCCAGCUCAUCCUGGGAGACCUGUGCUCUGUCAUCACGCUGCUUCUCCUUUUAUGCCUGGCUCUGCCAUCUGAGUGCCCUGGAAAUCGUACCCCAGGUUCCAGCCUCCACUACGAAUGCUGCCAGGACUGGACCUCAGGAGUUCCCUGGAUUCUUUCCUUCUGUUUUCACCAACCUCACGCCAGGUUGGGCCCUCCUCAUCUUAUGACUCACUCAGGCUGUAACAACCUUCAAAAACUAUUUCCUGCUUUCAGUCUCUCUGCACUCCAGUCCAGUGUGAGACCUGCCAGGCUAUUCCCAAAAUAACUUCUUGUGUGUUACUCCCUGCCCCAGGCACCUGGCACCUUCCUUGCUGUGCUCCCUGCUCCCCUGCUCCUGGCUCUUUCUCCUGCACACAAGCGCGUCUCACCUCCUGGUUCUCAGGGCACUGAGUUCAGCUGGGGCCUUCCUUGCUGCCCUGUUAGAAGCCUCCAUCCCUCGGAGCCCAGGGAGCUCUGAUCCUCUCCGUGAUGUGUUCUUAACUUUACUAUACAUUUUGACGUGAUUUAUUUGCACCCCACCGUGAGUACCAUGCGUGCCAUGACAUAAUGACAUUCUCUAAGGACCCCUAUCUAAAUAUUUCAUCUUCACAAGGAUUGGAGUCUCCUUUGGUUUGAGGCAAAUGCAUGUUACAAAACAACAGUGCUAACUCGAUUGUAGGCAUUUUGUAAUUAUCUAUCCGUCUUCUAUACGCUUACACAGGGGAAAUGAAAUGAGAAACUGAAAUGCCAGCAAAAGAAAACAAACACCAGAAUGAGAGAUCAAGACACACGUGAGGCUGGGAGGAAGCCACACAGGCCACAGGCUCCUGGGCAGCUCUUCAGUGUGUCCGGGGAGCAGUCGCUCAUCGGUUGAAAUCCUCCCUCUCUGGGUCAGUUAUGGGACAGGACAUCCCAUGUCAGGGGAAGAGAGCGGGAAAUGCACAAGCAUGUGAUUAGUUUAAAUGACCCUCAAGAGGAGAUGUCCAGAAGUGGAAGACGUGUGACUUCCCCACCUCCCGCAAGUGUCCCCCUGCAAGAAUUGUUGUCUUGGGAAGAUAAAAUAAGGGAAGAAUAGAAGAGUAAAAGGGGCAAAGUGAGGCGACAGAGAGAAAAGAAGGAAAGAAGUAGUCAGAAAAAAGUAAAAGAAGCAAACAGAGCUCAUCCUCCCACCUCUCUGCUCAAGCUCUCUAUCGACAAAAAUCACCCCCUACUGAAAACGUGCCCAAGAAGGAGAGGCUGUGGGGAAGUGUUCUGUAAACUCUGAACCCGGGGCCCAGCGUGCGCAGAGAUGGGCGAUGGAAGCCCAGCCACGGCAAACCCAAGGACGAGACGGAAUAACAGUGGACAGAGCACGUGCUCUGCCGGGCAGGAAACGUUCACAAGCCAAAGUUUAAGCAUAAAUAAGAACAAAAUAGAAUAAAGUAGAAUAAACAAGGACAGAAAAAGUGAGAACAUCGAAUGCUAAAAAAGAAUCCUGCUCUAAGUUGCAUGUUAAGUAAAAUAUUAAGAAGUGAGGAUAAAAGGUUACAAACAUCAUCCGUUAUGCCAAAAUAAUUACCUAACUAUCCAGCCUGUCUGGCUUCCAGAGAGGAUCAGGAACCAUCUUAAAAACAAAACCAAACAACGCAACAGGCUCCAAAGUGCUUUUUAACAAGGUAAACAAGGUACUUACUAACAGCAGCCCAUAGAACUUAGAGAAGGCUUGGCGGAGGAGAGAGAGCAUGCUGCCUAAGUUGGAAAUGAGGACAAUUUUGGCCGGGGAGCUGCACCGUCUUUCUCUUCAAGUGUGGAGAAUCUCACUCCUCCACGUUCAGGAGAGCAAACCUCCACGGGAGUGUGCAAACAUUCAGGCUAACUGUCACUCGGGAUCAUCCAAAACUCAGAACAGGGCAAGAGGCAGUUGAGUGUGGCAAGGAUAUGACAAUGUCACUUUUAGUAACUGACUCAGUCCAACACCUCGGGGUCAAGUGCUUAAUAUAGGGCUACUCUUUCCGUUGGGCGGCAAGUUGAGUGAAAUUGACCACCUGUUCCCUUGCAAGUCUGCCUGUCUCCAGCCCAAAUCAGAAGGCGCCUGGCACGGCCACUCGCAGGAGGUGCUGCGGCGAUUGGAUUUCCCCUCCCACCGGUGCCUGUGAAAUCCAGAUGUGUUCUGGGACCCUCUCCUCUCCUGAGAAGACUGCAGAUCAAGCUGCUAAACAAGUGGAAGCGAUUCUUGUUGUUUUUAAUAUCCUUAGUUGUGUGUGUUUUCUGGACUCUAUUUUUAUAAGUUUAAUACUCUGCUUUCCUUGCACAUCCGCAGGGCCUCUACUAAAGAAAUGGAAAAAAGGAGCGUCUGAGCCAUGCACUCAGGCUCCUGCGGCUCCAUCCAAAGCCCCAGGAGGACUCCCUGCUCCGUCUUUGUGAACUGCUCCAAGUCUGAUUAUUCAGGAUCUCUCACCCAGUCUGUGGCCGGGGAGAUCUAAAGUACACUCAAGUUGUUCAUUAAAUGUCUCCAGCAGUUUCGUGGAUGCAGUUUUCAGAAAGGCUGCACCACUAAUAUCCCCCUACACACCUAAUGUAACAUGACGUUGUUUGCAUCCUGUGAAUACACCUGCCCGUCAAUUUCAAACUCUAGCCAUGUCCACUAAGUUUUUGUUCUGGGCUUUUCCAAACAAUGGCUUAAUUGGAGUCAGCAAUUUGAAGGAGAAAGCCCACGAAAAUAAGCAACUUAGGAAAAACCAGUUCCACUCACCGUGCUUAGACACACCCCAUAGGCACAGGUCACUCCUGUGGUUUGCCGGUGAAGGCUAAAACCUCACCUCUUCCUUAGACACCUCUGUCCUCUACCUCAGAGAAAUUCCUCUCUCCCUUAACUAUGAUUCUCACCACUCUGUGAAAUGACAACAUUGAUCAAAUGUCUCUGUUGUGCAUUGUCUGACAUGGCAGCUCAUUGGGAAUUUAUGAGUCAUUUUUGACAAGAGGGUUAGUGAACCUGUUUAUGACUGGGGCUCACUGCCCAAAUAUCUCCAAAGGUCUGGAUGUCCACAUGCUUUCUUCCUCCCACACAUGGAGGUUGUUUGCCAUGUGGAUGCCCAGAGACUCAAGAUGGAAAUUCACUUGGCAGGUCAUUUGACCAGCAUAGGAACCGACUUGCACUGCUCAUCCUUUAGGGGGACUUGCUGGGAACAUCCCAUAUUGCUUGGAAGACUUGGUAGUCUCUUUCUGUUCACCCUUUCUCCACUCAUAGUCCUCCAAUACAAUAAAAUCACCACCCCAAUGACUCUUGAUUCCUUAACUAGUUACAUUGUGGAGAGGUUUCUAGUACUGUCCAGGAUAAAAAAUGUCUGAAACUGCCAAGAACAAAGCCUAGCCCCAGAAGAGUUCGUCUAAUACUUUCUGAGGCUCUGACCGUCCAGUAACUGGGUGGGGUCACUGCCCUCUGAAGUCGCAAUCACAGAAUCCAGGAAGCUGAUGUGAACCUCUCCUUACGUGGUGAGAACGCUUUAUCUUCCCAUAGCUUUAAGUAUCACGGGAAUUCUGCUAGAGCAAUUCUUUCUCUAGCUGAAAUCUAUUGUUGGUGGGAGCCAUGGCACAGAGCAUAACGAUCUGAGCGACCUGAAGCGUUACUGUGAACUCACUACAUCUUUCCAUGUUGAUAGAGAAAGGGAGUCGUUCAUUCACUUAAGAAAUAUUGAUUGAGCAUGCUUGCUGUCUCAUCAUCUAAUUGUUUUCCAUUUCUCCCAGCUGGGCUUUAGAUGCCAGUGUGGUGCAUGUGCUAUUUGCUUACAUAAUUCUGCUUGGAUUAUCCGUUUAUUCAAUAAGUAGACAUUAAUCACUUAGGCUGUGGGAUCAGCUCUGGAAACACAGUGGAGGAAGAGAGAUGCUAUCCUGGCCACCAAGGAGCUAACACUCUGGUGUAGAAAAUGUCACUAAGCAAAUACAGACAUCGGCAAACCUAUGCAUACAGUUGAUGCGGCUGCUGUGCAGCGCGUUGCUAUGUGAACGGAAGGCAGGAAGACUUGAGCCCAGCCUGGAGAGACAGGAACAGCCUCUCUCAGAAAAGGCCGCUUACACUGAAACUCAAAAGGCGAGUCCAGCUUCUCUAGGCAAAGAGAAGUGAGCAGAACAGCCCACAUGAAUAAUACCCAAUGGCGAAACAAACACAGCACAAAUGGAACCUCCCCAAGAAUCAACCCGGAGCCAGAGACAACCCAGAGCGUGGUGUCAUUGAGGGGCCCACAAAGGUCUACAUGGCCAGAACUGGCCAGAAAAUGGGGUAAGCCCUUGUUAAAAAUGUCGGGUUUUAUCCUAAGUGCAAUGGGGGUCUUGCAGAGUUUUAAUGAGAAUGUACUUUUCUGAUUGUGUCUUUUAGACUGGGGUCCACAUCUCCCAGGCCUCGGACUGGUACAGGUCCGUGGCUUGUUAGGAACCAGGCCGCACAGCAGAAGGGCUGCCGGCUGCUCAGAUACUGGUCAGAUGUUAUUCUGAAUGUGUCCAUGAGGGUGUUCUGGGACAGGACAGACGUCUAAGUAGGCGAAUGGAGUCAAGCAGAUGCCAUCUCCAGUGUGGGUGGGCCUCACCCAAUCAGUCAAAGGCCGGAACAGAACAGAAAAGCCGAGAAGGACCCCUUCCUGCCGGGCUGCCUUGAGCUCAGUCAGCAGUCUUUUUCUGCCUUUGGACUCAACCGGAAACACCAGAUCUUCCUGGGUUUUGAGCCUUCCAGCUUUCAAACUAUACCAGAGCUCUCCUGGUUUUCAGGCUUUUGGACUCAGACUAGAACUUCCACUGUGGGCCCUCCUGGGACUUCAGCCUGCCAACCGCACAGAUCUUUGGACAUGUCUGCCUCCAGAGUUGUACGAACCAAUUCCUUAUAGAAUCUCUGUGUGUUUGUGUGAUGUGUGUGUGCAUAAUUGUAUAUGUGUAUGCAUAUGUGUGUGUAUGGAUACAUAUAUAGAGAUGCACAUCCUAUUGAUUUUGUUUCUCUGGCAAACCCUGACUAAUACACCAGCUAAAGAGGAAAUAAUAUUGUCUAGGGAGAAGGUAGAGUUAAUAAAAAAGACUCAUAUAAGCUAUAGGGUAUCUCCACAUUGGAAAUAAACCAUAGUGCAACCCAAGAAAUAGAAAUGAGAGCAGAAAUUGACCACAGAUCAAGUAGGCUAGAACUAUGGCAGAACUCCCCCUGGGCACACAGCCACCUGGCUGGGGAUGGAGACCACAUUUCCCAGCUCCCAUGCUGCCAAGAGCAGCCACGGGCUAAGUUCAGAUCAAUGGCGUAUGAAGGAAUUGACGAAAUCCCAGGGAAUCUCCAUAAAGAUGAAGCCAUCAUCCUAGACUUCUUCCUUUUCUGUUUUCUGAAGGCCGAAAACCCAAUUUGAAAAUGACCCAGUUUUAACUCUGCAAACAAGAACCACACCUUAAAAGACAGUGGAGGAAGAAGAUGAGGGAACCCCAGUCGCUGGAUGACCUGGUGGAGCAGAGCCUCCAUGCCAGCCUGGACUGUCAGCUCUGGGCCAGAUUCUGGGAGGGAGGCUAGUAUCUCUCCUGUUUAAGUCCCAAUAUUUUGAAGUCUCUUUUCUCCAGCGUUUGGCUUGUACUGAACUGAAACAGACAUGGAAACACACACAAACAGCAACAUAGGCAGACGGCCGUUCGCUCAACUAGAACAGAAGUCUGCCUGCUGUGCUCUCUCCUGUAGCCCCAUAGAACGGGCCAGGAGCUGGCAUGAGGAGGACUCAGAACUAUGUGUGGAAUGAAUGGAUAGUGGAAGAAAUGCAGACUGGCACUAGAAGGGCAGUGAGGACAUGGGAAAAGAGUCUAUAGUUACAUCUCUUUACAAGAACUUGCUGUACAGAGAAGGGAGUAACUAAGGAACUAGGGUCUGGGUGCCGUGUAAUGCACAUGUGUGUACGUGGGUGACACAGGAAAUGCUAGGGCAUAUUUCCACAAAAAUAAACAAUCCAACAAGAGAAAGGAGUGCCAUACAAAAUAGAGUGUUGUAAAUUUCCUGAGUUGUGUAGCAGGCGAGGUACUUUCUUCAUAUCACCAGAAGGGAAGAGGAGGAGGAUGGGUGGGUGUACAGGAAAACCUGUUGGGUCACAGGUAGGAAUUUUAGGAUGUAUCUAAGUGAUGACUCUUAAAAAAAAUUCUGUCUAGUGGGAAGCAAGGUCAACCCCUGGAGAGAAUGCUGGCCAGCAGAGGUCAGGCCAAGGUAAAUGGAGAAGGUUGAAAAUAGGCAUCGUGGAGAGAGAGAGCAAAGUGAGUACAGGGUUCUGGUCAGAAUAAAGAGAAGCUCUCAGAGGCUGAUGAGGUUGGGCAUCAUGCAUUUUUAUAGUAACAAUCUUCCCAGUGUGUGUCUUUCCCAGGAACUGUCAGGGUUUAGACAGACAUGAAGAACAGGAAAUGUUUGGCUUCUUCUGGGGCUGUGAUUUUUCCCCAAUGAUAAAAAUUAAAAGGCUGAAGGGCAACUUCUAUUGAAUGUUGCAAUAAAGUAGUUACUGACUCUGUUGGAGAGGGAAGAAACGGCUGACAGGAAGGCUGGUGGAUGUGGUGGUGAACUCAUCAGAGGGCCGGAGGUUCCGACAGGACAGGCACCUGCACUGUGGCUUCUUAACCAGCCCGGUGGGAGGACAAGAAAUGGAGGCAACAGAAUGUGCUCAACGACUUUGUCAAUUACAAGUGAUUAAGUUUCCAGGAUGUAGGAAGUAGAAAAGUUCCUCUUCAAAGUGUCCUUUCUUGUUAAAGAAUAAUCGUAAGUGUUAGAAAUAAUAGUUUGUUUUAAAUACUUUCUUCAAAGCCUUUUUGCUUUUUGCUAGUAGCUUUUUGUUAAGCCAUAUCCUAUGUAGCUGUUAGACACGCUUACAGGCACGUAACACAUUCUGUGUCCUUGUACUUUAACCAAGAUACUGGUGCUAGAUGUGCUCACAGCCUAUGCCCCUUCCUUAUUUAGACCUCCUUUUUGUUCUCUAUUGCUUUUACCUGUUUAGAAAAAUUUGAAGUUGUUAGACAAUCAAGUUUUAGUUUAGAUUGUUAAGUCUGGCUCCAACCAACAAAGAUCAGACACAGCAGUAAGGACAACCCCAAAUGCAUAAAGGAUAAAUAUGUCUGCUUUUCCUUUGCUCAUUGUACUGUCAUAGCAAGAUAGGUGAGGGUACUCUUUCGGCAAGAAGUAAAGAUUGCCUUGCUGAGAGAUGCUUUGUCCCAGUGCUGACUUUUCCUUGCAGCACUGAAAAUUUACAUGUAACACAGGAUGACAAAGUUUAGAAUAGAUGGCUAAUUUGGAGCUUUGUCCCAGUGCUGACUUUUCCUUGCAGCACUGAAAAUUUACAUGUAACACGGGAUGACAAAGUUUAGAAUAGAUGGCUAAUUUGGAGUAGGAAAAAAACAUCUCUAGAGAUGAGAAGGUAGCAGAAUGGAGAGGUCAGGUGGUCAGAUGUGAUUUUCAGAUGGAUGUGGAAGACACCAAGUGGAUAGCAGGCAUGGUAAUGGUGAGGAAGACUGGCGUGGAUUCCAACGACCCCUCUGAGUGCACCAUAGUAACAGAUGGAGUUGGUGACUCCUAAGAGUACAGGAGAGGUGGUAUUGUCAGAUUGCAUGAGAUUUAAAGAAGCAAAUUUUUGUCCAGCUAAUAGGCUGUGGUCAGAAAGCUCCCUGAAGAGCAAGGAUGACAUUGACCAAGCAUGUGGCACUCAGGUCUCAGGGGCAAAAAGAGAGCAAAUUGCCUCCAUUUGAGAGGAUCACAGAGGAAGUGGGUUCUCAGGAGCCAUCAGAUUCCACUUAAGGAAAGCGGGAGGAAUCUUGAGAGAAGACUUCAAGGGAAUGGCUGACCAAAGAGGUGGGAUGGCCAGCAGGCCAGUGCUUGGGAGUAGAGAGACAGGCCAUGAAUGUGUGGAAGGAAGUUGUCCCUUGAGCGGUGACCAGGACAAAAGGGGAGGCCAGCUUGGUGGACUUCACUCUGCUUGUCUUGCAGGAGACUGCCAGGCCAGGGACACUCUCCCUUGGGUUCAUAAAUGAGUCAGAUGGCUGGGACUCCAUCUUCUCUCCCUGAGGAACUAGUUGAUAAAGACACCCUAGUGCAUUUUCCUGAACAGACUGUUGAUGUUAACAAGGUCAGUCUGAUACGGCUGAUUCUUUAUCAGUCCAUCACUGUUUCUUUUGUAGACACACAUCAGCUGUCGGUUUAACCAAUUCUUGCUGAAAAUGGAUUAUUACCGAGAAUGACCAUCAAGUCCAUGGCUUUGGGAUGUGCAGAAGAUAUUGAAUGCUGGCUUUUCAAGCUGGUGCCUCAUUCAGCCAUCUAUAGUCUUCUGACAUUUUUACAGUUUGCAAAGUCAUAGAUUAAAAUACACAACUAAUCAAUAAGGAGACUUGCCUAAGGCCAGGGGACUGGAACCACAGGGAGAGCAAAGAGAUGUUUCACGUUUGUAGGUUCUACUUUGUCUUUAUGAUUGUGGCACUGUGUGUUCCCAAAACAGGAAUGCUGGGAGGCCUGGAAUAGGUUUUCUGAGUCCUGGCUCUGCCACGGGCUAGCUCUGUGACCCUGAGAAGCCCACGAGGAUCUGAGAGCUGUCAUUUCUUCAUCUUAUGAGUGGAAGUAAGUCCCGACGCUGCUUACCUUAUGGGUUGCUGUGGCUAUUCAGAUGUGUUGUACAUGAAACACUGCAUGAGUCCACGUUUACACUAGGCACUAAAUCAUUACUGGUAUUUUAUUGUUCAAGGUAUAAUGUAAGACAACAUCUAUACUAACCUUAACAUUUAAACAUUUAUUUUACCUAAAAGCUGAUGAUUUCUGAUGCUAUAGUUAGAUGCUCUUUCCUUUUAUCCUGGUGUGUUUGCUUUUCACCUUUUCAUGUGUCCUUUUCAAAACUAUCCCUAGGAAGCAGCUGGUGUGAUUAUAUUGGGUUUGUUAGAAAGUAAUGUCUUCAUCUUCCUUUCCAUUAGGACUGCGUAAAAUCGCAUCACUUGAAGUGUGUGCUAAGAAUGUCCCUAAUCCCUUGUGGGAUAUUUCUCCUUCUGAGUCUCAUGUUUGGUGAUUCCUGCUUUAUAAAACCCAUCUCCCUGAAAGCUUGGGACACAUUUAACUCCACGUCCCUCUCUUCCUUGAUGCGAUUCUGUUUCCUUCAGCUCUUCGUCUGCCUUCCUCCUGGCAAUACGCCUCUCUAAUUUCCUUUCUUAGAGGCUUCCACUCCAGGGUUCAAGGAUUUUCCUGCAACUGCAUGCCUUCUUUUAGAGAAGAGGGCAGGUGUGUGCACACAGCAUAAUUGGGUCUUUGGGUCUAAUUCUCCAAUAUAUCUGUCCCUUUUGAAUUGAGCUAACUUUUCAGUAAUUUUUUAGCCAUAAUGUUCAUCUACCAAGCAAUACAGGUGAAGUCAUGUUUAUCACCUAUAAUUUUAUUACCUGCAGAAUGCUUAUUCAUAUAUGGAUGUCAAUGGCUACAUGUAUUGAUUAAAACUCCCUUCCCAAUUACGUUACUAAGGAAACAGCUAGACACAUUUCAAAUGUUAAUCACCUUUUGUUACACCUGAGUCACAUUAGCAAUAACUUUCUGCACGAGAGAAGUACUCGCUUUGUUUGGAUUGGAAUUCUGUCUCGUACACAGGGUUCAAUUAACAUUAGCUGAGACUAUUUCUUAAGUCAAAGAAGAUGCAUAUCCUCUUCAUUAUUAAGCCUAGAAUGUGAUUUUCUCAGGUUGCCACAUUAAUCAGAGAGAGACACUGUGUAGUUUAUGAUCAAAACUAAGGCAGCUCAACAGCGUUACAUCUUAAGAGGCUGACAUAGGAGAAAUGUCAUUUCCUUUUUAGUCUGCGUCAUUAAAAAGAUCUUUUUUUCUUUUGAAGUCUUUCUCUUGGUUGCUCGACAUUUCUUCACAGAAAGAAUAUGAAGGAAAUCAGUGAUACAUAGCAUGUGAAAUCAAAGCAGCAGCAGGAUUUUGUUUAGAGGAAUGCACAGCUGCAUUGACUGUGAUUACAAUUCAGAAAAGCUGCAGCUGCCAAUUUCCUUUCUGCAAUUCAAUUAACCUUAUAUGUACCUUUCAACUUUAAGGGAUGUUUUUUCCACUCAAGGAAAAAACAAAAGGAGAAUGGGAGAAAUUAUAGAACUAUGAAAUGGGACUUACAAAGAAGUAGAAUAGUUUGCCUAUUCUUCUCAGGUAACAUAUUUUAUGGACAAUUUCAAUUCUUCCUGCUGCUGUCUUCAGAAGAGCUUAAAUAUAAUUCUGGAUAUUAUUUUCAUUUUACAAGAAGAUAUUGGCUCACACUUCUCAGAGAGCUGAGGAGCUGGAAUUUGACUUAGUAUAACCGAGGUAAGAGUUACAUCUGGAAAAGAACAAUUCUUCCCGUGAAUUAGGACAAGUUCAACUACAUCCUAAAUCACAGUGAUCUUAAGUACUACUCCUCAUGCUUGUAAGAGAUUUUAAAAUAAAACAGCAAUCUGUGUACAGUACGUAGCCAAGGUGAUCCAAGGUCAGUGUCUCCUCCUAGGUGCACCUGCAGGGAGUUAGCAUUCACCGCCCACACGCCUGGCCCAACAAGAGCUGACCAGGCAUGCACACGCUACUGACGAAAUGCAGCCUGGUUUGCUGCAGGGCAUCUGUUUUCUAAAACACAUUUGUCACUGAUAGACCUAGUGACCGACUAGGUGUGAAUACGAUGUAAAAGUUGCAUUGGUCAUAAGCCAAUUUAUCUGAUGCACUAACAUUUUAAGUCACCAUGUAAUAGCAGGUCUGUGCUGUAACACAAAGAACUGUGGCACAGGUGAGCACAGCAAGACACCGAGAACACGCUUGCCUGUCCACUGGCCCCAUGUUUCUUCUGCUGGUCCUGUCUGGCCGUGUGUUUGGCUUUGAAAGUGUCCAGGAUCUGGAUCUUCAUGCAAAAGAAACAAGCAUGGGAUGGUGACCUGGAACACUUCUCGCCGGCAUCACUGCGUUUUCGCAAAGCCUGCAACUGAUCCAUCUCCGAUCUGCGCUCCGAGGCUCAGCCCUCUGAUCUUUCCUUACCUCUCCUUUCCCUAGGCUGCCUUCCUCUUUUUCCUUAUUAAAGUUCUGUACGUACUGCAGCAUAUUCCAUUUAUUGGGAAUGGAAUAUAUUUCUUCUAUGCCAGGAUUCAAAAUUGGGAUUGUUAUUGUAGUUUGUGCUCCGGUUACAGAAUUUCUAAGGUUUGAGUGUUCUAUCCCAGCACCAUAUUUUCUCAAAGCCUUGCUCUCUGCAGUGGGCAAUUUUGCACAAAGCAAUUUUCUCAGGCAUAUUCUUCUGAGCUCCAGGUCUCCACAUCCAACAUCUACUCAACAAUUUAUUCUGAGAUGUUCACCUCAAACAUGUCAGAAUCAACAUGUCAACAUGCCAAUACCUCCUGCAGGAUUUCCUAACUCCACAGAUGGUAUCUGUCUAAUUGUGCAAGCCAAGAACAAGGCACCAGCUGGGACAUUUCCUGUAUCCAGUCUAUCAUCACGUCCAGUUAAUUUUACAAGUAGUGUUUCUCCAAUGUGUCCGUUUCUCUUUGUCUCUGCUGCCACCUUCAUCUCAUACCAGGAUCACUGCGGCAGCCUCACCAGGAUCACUGCAGCAGCCUCCCCCCAGGCCACAGUAGUCUAUGAAACACUAAUCUGAGCAGAUCACCACCUUCUGCACAAACCCUUAGGAAACUAGAAGAAAACUCCCUCGACCUCGUAAAGGCUAUAUUAACAAAACAUCCAGUAAACAUCACACUCAAUGGAGAAACUUUAACACCAGGAGCAAAGAUGCCCAUUAAUAUCACAACUGCUUAGCAUGGUACUAAAUAUUCUUACAGACAAAAAAGAAUCAAGAAGGAAGGAGUCAGAAAACAAAAGAAAUUCGUGGUGUAAGAUUUGGAAGGAAGAUAAAAAAAUCCUUAUUGGCAGAUGGGCAGAUGACACAGUCCUAUACAUAGGCACUCCAACAGAAGAGAGACUAUUCAAACUAAUGAGAGUUCAGUGAUGUUGAUGGAUUUAAAGUGAGCUUAAAAUUAAUAGUAAUUCUCUUUACCUACUGAUGCAGACUGAAUGUUGUGUCCCCCCAGUUCUUACGUUGAAAUAUAAUCCCAAGUGUGAUGGUAUUUGGAGGGAGUUCUGGGAGGAGAUUAGGUCGUGAGAGCAAAGCCCUCAUGAAUGGGAUUAUGAAAGAGACCUUAUAAAAGAGACCCCAGAAAGACCCCUCACCCCUUCUACCAUGUGAGGACUUGGCGAGAAGGCACCAUCAAUGAACCAGAGAGCAAGUGUUCACCAAACAUUAGAUCUGAAAGUCCUUCGCUCUUGGACUUCCAGCCUCCUGAACUGUGAAAAACAAAUUUUUGUUGUUUAUAAGCCACUCUGCUUAUAGUUUUUCAUUACAGCAUCCCAAAUGGACUAACACACCUGCAAUAACCAAUUCCAAUUUUUAUUAAACUUAUGUGGUGAAAUUUUAUCAAAUACCUCUCUGUACCAAUUGGGGGACCACAUGGUUCACAUUAUCAACAAGAGAAAAUAGGCAACCCAAACCCAAAAAACAGGCAAGUAAUAAAAACAGUUCACAGCAAGAGAAAUUUAAAUGACUGGCAAGUGUGUGAGGAUUUCCUCAACUCAGUAAAUGUAACCAGAAGAAAUAAAGUGAGGAGAUGCCGCUUCCAACCAUCAUAUUUAUAAAAUGUAAAAGGCACCACAGAACCAAGAGUUGAUGGGUGUGGGAAGAUACAGGGCCUCCUGCAGUUCUUCUGGGAGCACCCCCUGCUGUGACUGCAUGGAGAACACUCGUCAUGAAGAUGAAGGAUGAGUAUCAUCAGUGGUCUUUCCAUCCCAUGCUGCACAGACUAGAGACCCCAGACCCCCACCCCCGACGACUGGAUGAGUACCCAGGCACGGGGACAACUACUUAGGCCGGCUUUAUGCACAGUACCCAGGGAGAAGUAAAGCCCUGUGCCUACUGCUUGUGCAACUGAAAUAUCACCCCGUUACUGUGUAUCUUAAAGGAUACAUUCAUAUCCAAGAAUAGAGAGAGAGUGCGAUCAGGAGCAAAAGUAAAAUAGUAUUAAACAAGAAGAGUCUUGUUUUGAACAGUUGCACUGGAGUUCCUUGAAUAGUAGUAACAAAACUCUGCAUAGGAAGUUUUUGAAAAACAUUAAAAGAGUAAAGUGUGGUCUUCAGAUUAAUUGGUGGGAGGGUGACAGCCAUUGAAAUGGAUAAGUUCAAUUUGGGAGUGAAUAUCACUCAAAAUAGACCAAAGUCCAACAUACCUAUAAUUGGUGUUCAGGAAGAAGAAAAGUACCCAGAAAGCUUGAGAGUAAGGGUUGAUCAGGAAAGAGAGUUAACUUCGAUUUGACACAGAAAAAUCCCAACUCUCAAAAAGCUAAGCCACACCAAAGAAACUGCUUUAUCUGGAUGUUGGGAAGAUUUAGGAUGUUAAAAAUAAGUUCAGUAUAAACAGAAACUCUUUCUCCCUUGCAACUUCCAUUCCUCCUGCCUUGGGUGGCUGGCAAAAGCUAAGAAUGUAGAAGACAUUCUGAGACGUUUCUGAGACCCUGAGAAGGGGCUUACGUGCCCACUAAGCGUUCCCGUCACCAGGCAGUGCACUCUGCUAAACAAGCCUUCACCAGCAGGCCUUUACUAGGACCAUUUACGGUGACAAUAAGUUACUUCCUCUGAAGUUUUAUCACAAUGGCUUCCUUCUCAUACAGUUGAACUUGCUCACUUUCAAAUGUAAUUAUGUUUUGAAAUACAUACUUCUGAAGUGAAGCCAUCAAUUUUCAUAGGCAAUGCAUGAUAAAAUAAAUGCAUGGUACCGCAAACUGCAAUUUAUUAAGUUUGGUGGAGUCAGUGGAGCCAGUCAUGUAGACAGCUGGGAGAAAUCAGAAACAGAGGUGACAUGGAGUGAUAUUCAAAGUAGAGAAACAAGGAAGAGGCAUGAGCCAGAAGCUGUGAGCCUGCAGUGGGGUUCCGUACACAUUGCCCUCAGCCAGGUACCAUCGGCUUGUUUUAGCAUGCCCCUUGUCUGGGCUGUGCCCCAGUUUCCUCCUCCUUAAAGCAGCACUGAAGUUCAUCUCACCCCUGCUUCCCUCACUGCUUGUCAUAAAGAUAUAACGAGAUUAUGAUUGUGGGUGCUCAUUAAGCUGGGCACAUAUGUGGCAAAUCAUUACUUUUAUUAAUGGAGGAAUAAGAACAGUCCCAUAAGUCAGAAAUAAAGACACAAUAUAUCCUUAAAAAUAAACAUAUGGGCUGGGUGAGGUGGCCCACACCUGUCAUCCCCACAAUUUGGGCAGCCGGGGCAGGAGGACUGCUGAUGCCCAGACACUGGAGGCCAGCCUGUGCCACAUAGUGAGACCACAUAAAAAAAAAUAAACACACGACCAAAAAGAAAAAACUAUCUGAUGGCUUCGCUUUAUCCUAAUGUCAAAUCACAAUUAUUCUUUACAUCAUCUUUUUUCUUCACGAAAGUCAGAAUCUCAUAGGAAAUUGGUCAAGAUCCUGACGUACAGGUGGGUUAACAGGAUCAGUAAAUGUCAAAUAACAAAUUACAAAGAAGGAAGGGAUGAAAUGAAGUCCUGGCACAUUUCUCCUGGUUGUAUUUCUUCUUUCUGGCCCAGACAUCUCCUAGAUUUACAGGUGCGUAAAUGUCCCUUCUCGUCACCAGGACAGCUUUAACUACCGUCAAGAAGUAUUUUUCAAAUAAACACUUCAGUUUCUGUGUCUGAAGUGUUUAUUUGACUCAUCGGAACUGAGAACAAAUUAGGGGUUGACAAGGUCCUAUUGCGUGCAGAACAACUGUGACUUUCUAAAUGGAAGAACAUCUUUAAAACUUUAAAGAGGGUUUCAGUUUUCAUGUAUGCCAUAUUCUAUUAUCGAACCAGAAACUUCACUCCAAAGUACUAUUCAAAAUCCUGAUGGAGUAAGAAUUAAAUUGCUGCAACUUAACUUUAAUCCUGUGUACUUCUUCAGUUAUCACACAAUGUCUUUUUUCCCUGUCCUUACCAAUCUCAAGGUUCACCAUUGUAAAUAUAAGUGUAUGUCAAUUAGGAAAAACACAGGAAAUCCCUUAACAUCUGGAAGGUUCCAUUCAAUUUUGCUAUUCUUAUGAAAACUGAUUUCAAAUCUGGAAUAUUCAAAGUAACACUUGAGUCAUGACCUCUACAGCAUGCUUUAGCAUGUGGUCCGUUAUAUCUGGCAGAUCACCCUCACACACUGCUCUCGGCACCCUGAUGUCCUCCCAGCACAGUGUACUUUGUUCUGAACUCUUCAGUAUACUUUUUGUAGAAUAAUAUGUACAUAUGCAUGCAUGAGAGUGUGUGUGUAUGGGGGGGGUGUGGGGUGUGUGUG